rnacentral:rRNA from 1 species
GACGAACCGUACAAACGUUAUUCGGAAUCACUGGGCUUAAAGGGUGCGUAGGUGGCGGGGUAAGUCAGGUGUGAAAUCUCGAGGCUCAACCUUGAAACUGCACUUGAUACUGCCUUGCUCGAGUACUGGAGAGGAGAUUGGAAUUUACGGUGUAGCAGUGAAAUGCGUAGAUAUCGUAAGGAAGACCAGUGGCGAAGGCGAAUCUCUGGACAGUUACUGACACUGAGGCACGAAGGCCAGGGGAGCAAACAGG